UGAGGAAUAUUGCACAAUGGGCGCAAGCCUGAUGCAGCAACGCCGCGUGCGGGACGAAGGCCUUCGGGUCGUAAACCGCUUUUCUGGGGGAAGAGCAAGGACGGUACCUCAGGAAUAAGUCUCGGCUAACUACGUGCCAGCAGCCGCGGUAAAACGUAGGAGGCGAGCGUUAUCCGGAUUUACUGGGCGUAAAGCGCACGCAGGCGGCUCUGUUAGUCGGACGUGAAAGCUCUCGGCUUAACCGGGAGAGGCCGUUCGAUACUGCGGGGCUUGCGGUAGGGAGAGGAAUGCGGAAUGCCCGGUGUAGUGGUGGAAUGCGUAGAUAUCGGGAGGAACACCUGUGGCGAAAGCGGCAUUCUGGCCCUCACCUGACGCUGAGGUGCGAAAGCGUGGGUAGCAAACA
rnacentral:rRNA from 1 species